rnacentral:rRNA from 1 species
GACGAACGCUGGCGGCGUGCCUAAUACAUGCUAGUAGAACGCUGAAGAGAGGAGCUUGCUCUUCUUGGAUGAGUUGCGAACGGGUGAGUAACGCGUAGGUAACCUGCCUGGUAGCGGGGGAUAACUAUUGGAAACGAUAGCUAAUACCGCAUAAAAUUGAUUAUUGCAUGAUAAUUAAUUGAAAGAUGCAACUGCAUCACUACCAGAUGGACCUGCGUUGUAUUAGCUAGUUGGUGAGGUAACGGCUCACCAAGGCGACGAUACAUAGCCGACCUGAGAGGGUGAUCGGCCACACUGGGACUGAGACACGGCCCAGACUCCUACGGGAGGCAGCAGUAGGGAAUCUUCGGCAAUGGGGGAACCCUGACCGAGCAACGCCGCGGGAGUGAAGAAGGUUUUCGGAUCGUAAAGCUCUGUUGUAAGAGAAGAACGGGUGUGAGAGUGGAAAGUUCACACUGUGACGGUAGCUGACCAGAAAGGGACGGCUAACUACGUG